UUGUACAAGAAACCGAGUUACCUGCCAACAAGGUAAAGCUUUCAUUGUAUAUUCGUUAGUUUUUCUACUAAUGAUGCAGAAACAAUUGAAGACUGACAAUGAUGUUGAGCUCUAUGCACUUGGAACGGCUAUUCCAACUAUAUAAUAAUCAUGUCUGAGAUUUUGAAGCGCAAUGGAUGGGCAAUUCAGAAAAACAUUGAGCAGCAAACCGCCUGGAUCUACAAAUGAUUCGACUCUGCGUUAUGAAAAUACGGCAAAGAAUCAGAGUGCUGGUUCAAGCAGAGAUUUCCCACCAUCUUAACCUCGAGAAUCGUCUAUUAUUGAUGAUAACUUUACUCCCCCUCCACCUUCACUAGAUAAAUUAGAAGUUGAUUUGUGCAUUGUUAGAAAGUCAAUUAUGGCCAUCGAGGAG